rnacentral:rRNA from 1 species
CCACGGAGGGCGCAAGCGUUGCUCGGAAUCACUGGGCGUAAAGCGGGUGUAGGCGGUCUAGCAAGUCAGAUGUGAAAGCCCACGGCUCAACCGUGGAAGUGCAUCUGAAACUGCUAGACUUGAGUGCCGGAGAGGGAAGUGGAAUUCCUGGCGUAGGGGUGAAAUCCGUAGAUAUCAGGAGGAACACCGGUGGCGAAGGCGACUUCCUGGACGGCCACUGACGCUGAGACCCGAAAGCGUGGGGAGCAAACAGGAUUAGAAACCCUAGUAGUCC